AAGGGAAUUUUAAAAUUUAGCUGCUAACUAAAUAAAGAGCAAAUUUAUUGUUCAUCCCUUA
rnacentral:tRNA from 1 species